UCUUUAGUAUUCAACCCACGAUCCUUUCGUUAGCUGGCUAUAAUAAACGCACAACGUCCUCUCCGGCCGCUUCCUCUCCAGCCGCGACCGCCGCCGCCGCCGAUCUUCUUCUCUGGCCAUCCGCCGACCUCCUGUUCUCCUUCCCCUCCCAACCCGCAGCCUCCUCAAUCUCCAACCUCCUACACCCGUAUCGUGCUUCUCUGCUUUGGAUCGAGUUGGCCGGAUCGACCACAUGGCCAAUGCCAAGGUCGCCAGUCCAUCGUCCUGCUCCACUCGUGUGCGCCCUCGACGCCGACGCCCUCUGAUACUCUUUGCCGCAGCCGCCGCCGUCGGCCUCCGUCACCACGCGCCCCCUUUGAGCACACUGGAUGCAAUCUCACAUGGUGUCGUCGUCCGCACUGUCUAACACCACCUACGGACACAGAAUGGCGGAUCAAGGUGUUUGAUGAAAUGCCCAACUACACCAACAACGCGAAUUUAGUUCUACAUGGUGGAAUCAACGAGGUAGCAUGACCUUCAGCCUUCUACAAGAGGUCAACUCAGUUCAAAUCAUUUAGCUAUGUGCAGUACUAUUGCCAAUCGUCUAUUUAGAUGCUUUUUACAUCAAAAUGGUGAUUUUAUACAUACUAUUUUUGUAUGUGGUUACGGUGAUGGAUAAGAUAAGAAAACAUGUAGUUCAAAUCGCCAUCAAGCACAUCAGUCCUUUGAAUGUUAAGCACAUCGAAUGUUUUCAGUUCGUGCAUCAGUUGCAAGCAAGCCAGAAACAUUAUGUGUUCUAUUUUUGUAGAUCAGAAUCCUAGACGUGCCAGUUUAUAACAUUCUCCCAGUACCUCUGUUCUGCAUAUAUUUCUCAAACUAAUUCUGCCAUCGAUUAGGAGUGACAUCACCAUGACAUUUCCAAGCUUUGUCUUCCAUGCUCGGGUCUCUGAUACCUGAAAUUCUUAGGAGUUCUUUCGAAAACAGUAGAAGAUAAGCUUGUGGUGACUUUGUGAAGUUUUGGCAUUGGACCGUUUGAAACUUUAGAUUGGCAGAGAGCUAGAGACCCUGGUGCUCUGAAGGAUGUUAAAUUUGAGAACACAAAUUAUUGUUGUUAAAUAAUCUUUGCUUCCUUCAUUUGGAAAAGUUAGCGUUGUGGGGAGUUUGAUGUUGCGGUAGGCCUUGGCAGUGGCGAGCUGGGAGCCGGCGAGGUAGGCGACAUCGUUGACAACGGCCGUCAUGGCCUCCACCUGUGCCCUCUUGCAGGUGGAUUGCUGGUCAUUGAUGUGGCGAGUCGGGUUCUUGCAGCAAAAUCUACGAUAUUCUCUGGAUGAGCUGCAGGUAGGCCAGGCUGUUGACGAGGAUCCGACGACGACCACCAAGGUUGUAAUCUGCUGGUGCGGUGCUGCCCUGCUUUGAUUUGGGGGUUCAUCUGGGAUCUAAUUUUGACCGAACAAAGCUGGUGGCUGACGGCUGGUGUCACCUGAUGGUACUGUGCUACGGAGAGAGAUGUUUUUCCAGCAAUAGAAGUGGCCAGUUAGUUAAGUUGAAGAUUUGUGCCAUCUCUUCUUCAGGCCUGUAGCUUGUGGUUUCAGUCAGAUAGUUAAAGUCGCAUUGUCUUGCAACAGCGAGGACUGCUGGGUUAACUGUUUGUGGUUUCAGUCGGAUAGUUAAAGUUGCAUUUUCAGUCGGACACAUGCUUGUUGUUUUGCCUGCUUUUUUCUUGACUGCGCACUCUCGCCGUUCGUCGUCGUGCAAUGUUUAAGUUAUUCAUGCGGUGGGGUGGAUGAAAGUUAGUGCCAGACUAGCACUUUGGUUGUCCCUGUUUGGUGAUAAAAAGCUUUGACUGGAUAUUGAAUCAAUAAUGUUUCUUUUCAGCAAUCCUUCUGCUAUUGCCACUGCUUCCUUUCAUCAAGUUAUCUGUCCAUGCAUAUCUUCUUGAUGAACAAACAUAAAGCCUUGGAUGCCCAUAAAUAUGUUAGGUACUCACCUCCGCUUACUGAACAUAUAUGUACUUACGUUUUUUUUAUAUGCUUCAACUCCAGCUAACAAUCUGCUGAUCAGAAAGCGGUCCCAACAGAUUUUAUGCAUUCAAAAAGCAUUCUAACUUUAUCAAACGAAUUAGAGGACCAAGCGUAGGUUUCAUGUACGUGUGAAUCAACCUCAAAUUGUACGUAGUCAUAUUAUCAGAAUUGGAACAGAAAAAAAGGUGUACAGUAAAUUUAGUGUUACUUGAGAACUUAAUGAUGCCUUUGUAUUGUCGAUGCAAAGAAUUUCAUUUUUAAGAAAAGGCUGGGACAUCUAUUGUUGUUUGUAUCUUAGUGUUACAAUGUAAAUCAUUUGUGGUAGCAAAUAUGUUAACCAGGGCGCAAGUAUGUGAUUCAUGUUGUAUUGUACCUAAAUCAGUUUUUAUAAGUCCACAGAACUAACUACAUGCUUCAUUUGGUUUUGUGUUUUUUCUUCUUUUUUUCUUUGUCACAGUGCUCAAUGCGAGUUUCAAUAUGAGCCAUCUCGAGUCUGAAGUCCAAACCAUGCAACCUCUUUCGGACUAUGAAGAUAUGAGCCGUUGGGCUUCCUUUCAAUCGGUUGGUGCCUCAAGAAGGCUCAAAUAGGGUGGAAGACUGAUUUGAGCUUCGGUUUUGUUGGCAAAUCGAGGGGAGGAGAAAUCAAAGUCAUGGAGAAAAAAUUCGACGCUAGAUCCCAUGGCCUCGAGUUGUGUGCAUGUGUGGUGCGACAAAUUGGCGCCCAUUUGGCGGCGAUUAGACACUAAGUGGUCAUGCGGGGACAUGUGAGGGACCCAUCCUACCUUAGUGGAACAAGUCCAUGACACUCGGUGGAACAAGUCCAUGACAUUUGAUGUCAAUUGCGAGAGGUAGUAUGAUGGACGAAUGUACAGGGUAUAGUUCAGAUCUUGAGCUAUGGUUAC